rnacentral:rRNA from 1 species
AUGGGGGCGGUCUUGAGAGAUGACAAAGGUAGGUUUAUUGCAGGUGAAAAUGGAAAGAUCGACUACUGCUCAGAUGUUUUGAUAGCAGAAGCCUUAGCUCUCAAAUUUGGCCUAACUUUAGCGGAAAGGGCGGGGUGUAAUCACCUAAUCAUCAACUCAGACAAUUUUGAGGUGGUUGAGACCAUGCAAGAUAGAGGACAGUCAGCGGGUGCACCGGUGGCAAUUUUUGAUGAUUGUUAUCACUAUGCAUGUGAUUUUAUCAUGAAUAGAUUCAAACAUUGUAAUAGAGAGGCAAAUAAAGUAGCACAUGAACUUGCUAGGUUAGCUAGAUUUUCUUUGACUUUGGAUUGGUUUGAGGAGCCUCUCAAUGAAAUUGUACUGAUCCUCACAAACGAUGUACUGCUUAUUUCUAAUGAAUAUUUUUUUGUUUUAAUUCAAAAAAAAGGAGUAUAUGAAGUCUCCUCUCUCUUCCUACCAUGGUUGAGUGCAUUAUGA